rnacentral:misc_RNA from 1 species
CAAAAUCUCUCAGUUUCAACUGACCAGAAAUUGUUUUGGAAAGGGAUUUAGUUUGUAGGGAAUUAAGUUUUCGUGAUUUGGUCUGUUAUCCCACCCUCCGUUUUAGGACCUCUGUUGUCUCAUAGUGACAAACAGCAGUUGCUUCAACUUGUAUCAUGUGGCCGCCUCUUCUGUGCUUGUUCCACGACAAUGGCUUUGACAAACAAACAAAUCCUUAAGCAGCG